rnacentral:rRNA from 1 species
GACGAACGCUGGCGGCGUGCCUAAUACAUGCAAGUCGAGCGAAGCGGCGGAUGGGUGAGUAACGCGUGGGUAACCGGCCCUUAAGUCUGGGAUACUAUUUGGAAACAGAUGCUAUUACCGGAUACUUAAGGAUGGACCUGCGAUGCAUUAGCUAGUUGGUAAGGUAACGGCUUACCCAGGCGACGAUGCCUAGCCGGGUUGAGAGACUGAUCGGCCACACUGGGACUGAGACACGGCCCAGACUCCUACGGGAGGCAGCAGUAGGGAAUCUUCCACAAUGGACGAAAGUCUGAUGGAGCAAUGCCGCGUGAGUGAAGAAGGUUUUCGGGUCGUAAAGCUCUGUUGUUGGUGAGGCGGUAAUCAACGAGAAAGUCACGGCUAACUACGUGCCAGCAGCCGCGGUAAUAC